UCAUGCCUGAUUUGGCUUCAAGUAUUUCUCUUUGGAUUCCCAGUUGCUUUGGCAGCAACUUCAUUGUACAUGAUCGGACGAGGGAUCUAUAACAUGUCGCAUGGGAUAGGAAAGAAAGAAUGAUUUGGCAAGUUCUGAUGGAGGAAGUGGCUGUUUUGUGGCACAAACCUCACUGUCCUCAACUUGUGCCAUUUUCUUUGCUUUUAUGCUUGCUACCUUAUUAGUUUGCAUAUCAUCCACGGAAAUUUAGACCUGAAUGAAAAUAAUUAGUUUGUUUGAUUUGAUGUAUCAGAUUGGUGACUUCAACUGCAUGUUCCUUUUUAAUGCUUUGGUGUAUCAUCACCAGAAGGUUCAAUUUAUGCUUCUCCAUGUUUGGUUUGUAUAACAU